ACGCUCGACACCUACGGAGGCCGCAGUAGGGAAUCUUCCACAAUGGACGCAAGUCUGAUGGAGCAACGCCGCGUGAGUGAAGAAGGUCUUCGGAUCGUAAAACUCUGUUGUUAGAGAAGAACACGAGUGAGAGUAACUGUUCAUUCGAUGACGGUAUCUAACCAGCAAGUCACGGCUAACUACGUGUCAGCAGCCGCGGUAAUCUGAGCGGGCUGGCAAGGC
rnacentral:rRNA from 1 species